rnacentral:rRNA from 1 species
UGAUCGAGUACGAUUGCAAAAUUGAAAACAAAAAAAUUAGUCGGUCUCGGAGCAAACGAAGUGAAGCAUGUUAUUUAAUUCGAUAAUCCGCCGAAGACCAGAGACGCAAACGUUAAUCAUCAUAAACAGGCGUAAAGGGUUUGUAGGCAGCUUUUACAAGACUAUAAUUACAAAAUAAAGUAGUUUAAUUAAGAGCUAGAAUCAAAAAGAGGUUAUAGUGUAUAACGCCUAGAGGAGGGCUGAUAUCCAUAGAUCCUAGGCAGAAUACUCAGGGCGAAGGCCACUCUCCACUAGUGAUUGACGCUGAGAAACGAAGGUUAGGGUAGGAAAUAGGAUUAGAUACCCCGGUACUCCUUUCUGUAAACGAUGAAUGGUAGUCAUUAGAAAUUACUAGAGACGAAGUUAACACAAUAACCAUUCCGCCUUGUGAGUACUACUGCAAAGUAGAAAACAAAAAAAUUAGUCGGUCUCGAAGCAAACGGAGUGAAGCAUGUUAUUUAAUUCAUUAAUCCGCAUAAC